rnacentral:rRNA from 1 species
UACAGAGGGUGCGAGCGUUGUUCGGAAUUACUGGGCGUAAAGCGCGCGCAGGCGGCGCAUUAAGUCUGAUGUGAAAUCUCCCGGCUUAACUGGGAGGGGUCAUUGGAAACUGAUGUGCUCGAGGCGGUGAGAGGUGAGUGGAAUUCCGAGUGUAGAGGUGAAAUUCGUAGAUAUUCGGAAGAACACCAGUGGCGAAGGCGACUCACUGGACAUGUAUUGACGCUGAGGUACGAAAGCGUGGGGAGCAAACAGG